rnacentral:rRNA from 1 species
AUUAAUAAGCGGAGGAAAAGAAACUAACCAGGAUUCCCCUAGUAACGGCGAGUGAAGCGGGAAUAGCCCAGCACCGAAUCGCGCGCUCUCGGGCGCAGCGAACUGUGGUGUUUAGGACUAGCGCAUGCACGGCGGUACGGCGUCCGAGUCCUCCUGAUCGGGGCUUUGCCAGAGCGGGUGUCAGCCCUCUACGGCGCCGCACCGUCGCUGCCCGCGACGUCCUCGGAGUCGGGUUGUUUGAUAAUGCAGCCCAAAGUGGGUGGUAAACUCCAUCUAAGGCUAAAUACAGACACGAGUCCGAUAGCGAACAAGUACCGUGAGGGAAAGUU